rnacentral:tRNA from 1 species
GCGCCCAUAGCUCAGCGGAUAGAGCGCUGGCCUCCGGAGCCAGGCGCGGGGGUUCAAUUCCCUCUGGGCGCA